CUACGUUGCUGUGCGCGGGCUUUCUCUAGUUGCGGCUCGCGGGCUUCUCAUUGCAGUGGCUUCUCUUGUGGCGGAGCACAGGCUCUAGGCGCACGGGCUUCAGUAGUUGUGGUGCACGGGCUUAGUUGCUCCAUGGCAUGUGGGAUCUUCCCAGACCAGGGCUCGAACCCGUGUCCCCUGCAUUGGCAGGCGGAUUCUUAAUCACUGCACCACCAGGGAAGUCCCUCACCUCUAUUUCUAAGGCUGUGGGUCUCUCUGUCUCUGUUGUCUCCCCGUUUCUGCUUUUCACCUUCUCUGUCUCCAUCUCUAGGUCUUCUUAUCUCAGGGUCUCUGUUUUCCCCAUUCGAGGCCUGCCCAUUUCUACCUGUCCCUGUCUUGGGUCUUUCUCCACAUCAGAGUCUCCCAAGCUCUGGAUCUCCCCUUCUCUGAGUCUGUCUUCCUCUCAUUCUCUGUGUCUCCAUCUGUUGGUCUCCUUGUGUCUGUCCUCCUCAGUAUCUCGCUAUCUUGGGGACUCCGGGCCUUCUGGUCUCUCUAUCUUUGUGUGUGCGCGCCUCUUGUCCUCACCUUUCUCUCCCUCCCCCUCUCUGCGUCCGUGUCUCCUCUUCUAUGCCCCAAUCCCUGUCUCUGCGUAUGAGUCUCUUCUCUUCCUUUCUCCGUCUCUCUCUCUGGUCUUCUCUUGUUUAUGCCGUUGCCAUGGCAUCAAGGACGGCGCAGGCGCAAGGGAGGUCGGACGCCAGGCUGGGCUAGCUCGGCCUCUGAUUGGCUGUCUGGUCUGCCGUCGCGUCUUCGCUCUGCCCCCGUCCGCGCCGAUAGACUGCUGCCUUCUGGGCGUUGCAGGUUCCGCGCACGCGCAGUCUGGCCCGACGCCGUCGCGCCGGGCUCCCGGGCCGCUUCGUCGAAGGUACGCAGGCUGGCGGCCGCGACGUACCGUUCCUGAGGGUCGAGUUGUAGCGGACCGGCUCGUGUACGCGCGCAGCUGCGUUCCGAGGUCUGGACUCUGGCUAAGAUCCCAGAGCAUAUUGUCAUCCUUGGUCUGUCUCCCUCGGGGCCUCAGUCCCGUGAACUCACCCUCCACAACAGGCGCUUUGCAUGUUUGGAAAGAUGCUGCCUUUGGAGAAAGCGUUUGCCACCCCCAGGAACUCCCCAACUCCCCUGGAAUUGCCCACACUGGAGUCAACAGCUGGGGACCAGUAGGAGGGGCCCAAGACCAACCCUGGAAGGGCUCCUGCUGA
rnacentral:lncRNA from 1 species